rnacentral:rRNA from 1 species
UACGUAGGGGGCAAGCGUUGUCCGGAUUUAUUGGGCGUAAAGAGCGUGUAGGCGGUCAGGUAGGUCCGUUGUGAAAACUCGAGGCUCAACCUCGAGACGCCGAUGGAAACCAUCUGACUAGAGUCCGGAAGAGGAGAGUGGAAUUCCUGGUGUAGCGGUGAAAUGCGCAGAUAUCAGGAGGAGCACCGGUGGCGAAGGCGGGUCUCUGGGCCGAUACUGACGCUGAGGAGCGAAAGCGUGGGGAGCGAACAGG